rnacentral:lncRNA from 1 species
CUGAUUACUCUUUCAUAUAUAAUAGACAAAAGGUCAUUUUGUUGCUGUAGUGAACAAGGUAAGAUUUUUGUUGUUUCAUUUGUCUAUCUGUUAUAUUUAAAUACUAUUGUCGUGGAAUGCCCUUUUCGUUUGAAAUGUUCGUACUUCAAAUUGGUGCAGGUUUGUUAUGGUUUAAAACUCCAGUUUUCUUGGUCAUGUUUUAAAGAUGGGUUUUUUUUCUAUGAGUGCUUUUGUCAAUUAUUUGGCCUUACUAGUUCAUUUCAGUAGUUGUUAGCUCCCGCUUUUUGUUAUUUUUUUUCAUAUUUUAGAUGGUAUUAUUAAGUUUAUGCUUUUUUCCUUCGAAAUGAAAUACAUAAACAAUACAAGGAUUACAUAGUGAUGUCGGGAUUUUUAAAUUGCCAAGUAUAGAGACGAGUGAUUCACAGCAAGAGUCAUGUUUGCUACACCUUCAACUAAAAUUUAUUAAAAUAAGAGUAAUCGGGUGCUGCUUAUGGAUUUGGUUAAUGUGGUGGAUAUUCAUGGAAGCCAUGGGGUUGAAUUAUUUGUUGGAUAUUAUAGUAAUACAUGAGCAACUUCUCAUUCCCCCCGUUUGUUACAAAAU